GCUUGUGGGGGUGGAGAGAAAGAGGGAAGAAAUGGAGCCAGCUAGAAUCAUUUGUCUCUUUUUACCACUUAUGGAGAGAUUUGUGCAUACCAGGCACUAUGUAAUUCAGCUUUUAUAAACCUUAUCUCAUGUUAUCCUUUUAAGAAUUCAUAUGUAUCCGUCAGGGUUCUUCAGAGAAACAGCCCCAACAGAACUAUAGAGAUGCCUAAACUCUAAGAAGAUGCUUGGAAACGUCUCCGACCGAACGGCCAUGAGAACGGAGUCGUUGCUUGAAAAGUGGUUGUAUCUCACACUCAGCUCUGACGAUGGCUAGUGAAUCGGCUUCUGGCUAAAGGACCAUCCAGCAAGAAUUGACCAGUAGGAUGAGAUCAUACCUGUGCCAUAUCCAGGGAGGACGACUGAUACCGUCACUGCAGAAUGACCCAGAGCCCAGGGAGAGACCUGAAGGAGGGAGGACAGACUGACAAGGAAGCGUCUUCCUCUUCCCCCAGAAAUAGGAUUACAAAGACAAACCAAGCAAAGAGGAAGAGUUGGAGAGGAGAGACCGUGAAGACACGGAGAAUUCCGGGACUCUGCUGUCUAUCUCCGCAUGGGCUUGCUGGGAUCGGGGCGCUGCUGAUUAGCACUGGCUCUUGCUUAAGAGAAAGGAGACAUAUCUAAAAUAAAAAAUAGUGACAACUGA